GACGAACGCUGGCGGCGUGCUUAACACAUGCAAGUCGAACGGAAAGGCCCUGCUUUUGUGGGGUGCUCGAGUGGCGAACGGGUGAGUAACACGUGAGUAACCUGCCCUUGACUUUGGGAUAACUUCAGGAAACUGGGGCUAAUACCGGAUAGGAGCUCCUGCUGCAUGGUGGUGGUUGGAAAGUUUCGGCGGUUGGGGAUGGACUCGCGGCUUAUCAGCUUGUUGGUGGGGUAGUGGCUUACCAAGGCUUUGACGGGUAGCCGGCCUGGGAGGGUGACCGGCCACAUUGGGACUGAGAUACGGCCCAGACUCCUACGGGAGGCAGCAGUGGGGAAUAUUGCAGAAUGGGCGGAAGCCUGAUGCAGCAACGCCGCGUGCGGGAUGACGGCCUUCGGGUUGUAAACCGCUUUCGCCUGUGACGAAGCGUGAGUGACGGUAAUGGGUAAAGAAGCACCGGCUAACUACGUG
rnacentral:rRNA from 1 species